AGAAAGGGGGAUUUUUGGGUCAGCCACCAGCGUGAAGCAGGCUCAGAAACGGGCGUUUUGGGGUCAGCGCGCGGCAAAACGGGGACAGAAAGCAUCAUUUUGGGUGCGUUCAUUUUGAGAGCGUCAUGCUGCCCCAGCACAGAAUGGGCUCAGAAAGCGGCUUUUUGGGGCCGGAGCAAAAAAAAAAACAACAAACAACAAAACGACGAAGAAAAAGGACACAGAAAGCAGCAUUUGGGGUCGGGCUCAUCUCCCCGGCGCGCACCGAGCUGACGAAGCGGGGUUUGGGGCCGGCCGCUGGUACUUACUCCGCUCACUUGGAUUUUUUCCUGCCUCUUUUUUUAAGGGGUUUUGUGCUCUUUUUUGGGUUUUUUGUUUGUUUUUUUUUGUUUUUGCCUCAAUUCUCUCAUUUUUCCUCCUCUGAAAGCCCCAUCUCGAGCCAAGGGGAAAAGCAGAGCGACAAAACACCCCGCAAAGGGGAAAAGCAGAGCGAUAAGGAAAACAAGCCCUCAGAGCCUGAAUGAAAGGCGCCUGGCUCUUCCCCCCACCCCAAAAAAAGAAAAAUAAUAAUCUUAAAUCUCAGAAACGUGCAGAAUUCAGCCGUUUGUUCUGCAGUU
rnacentral:lncRNA from 1 species